AAUAUUGGACAAUGGGGGCAACCCUGAUCCAGCCAUGCCGCGUGUGUGAAGAAGUUCUUCGGUUUGUAAAGCACUUUAAGUUGGGUGGAAGGGCUUUAGGUUAAUACCCUGAAGUUUUGACGUUACCAACAGAAUAAGCACCGUCUAACUUUGUUCCAGCAGCCGCGUUAAUACAGAGGGUGCAAGCGUUAAUCGAAAUUACUGGGCGUAAAGCGCGCGUAGGUGGUUCAGUAAGAUGGGUGUGAAAUCCCCGGGCUUAAACUGGGAACUGCUUUCAUAACUGCUGAGCUAGAGUACGGUAGAGGGUAGAGGAAUUUCCUGUGUAGCGGUGAAAUGCGUAGAUAUAGGAAGGAACACCAGUGGCGAAGGCGACUACCUGGACUGAUACUGACACUGAGGUGCGAAAGCGUGGGGAGCAAACA
rnacentral:rRNA from 1 species